rnacentral:rRNA from 1 species
UACGGAGGAUGCAAGCGUUAUCCGGAAUGAUUGGGCGUAAAGCGUCCGCAGGUGGCAAUGUAAGUCUGCUGUUAAAGCGUCUAGCUCAACUAGAUACAAGCAGUGGAAACGACAUCGCUAGAGUGCGUUCGGGGCAGAGGGAAUUCCUGGUGUAGCGGUGAAAUGCGUAGAGAUCAGGAAGAACACCGGUGGCGAAGGCGCUCUGCUAGGCCGCAACUGACACUGAGGGACGAAAGCUAGGGGAGCGAAUGGG